AGUGAACGCUGGCGGUAGGCCUAACACAUGCAAGUCGAACGGCAGCACAGUAAGAGCUUGCUCUUACGGGUGGCGAGUGGCGGACGGGUGAGGAAUACAUCGGAAUCUACUUUUUCGUGGGGGAUAACGUAGGGAAACUUACGCUAAUACCGCAUACGACCUACGGGUGAAAGCAGGGGAUCUUCGGACCUUGCGCGAUUGAAUGAGCCGAUGUCGGAUUAGCUAGUUGGCGGGGUAAAGGCCCACCAAGGCGACGAUCCGUAGCUGGUCUGAGAGGAUGGUCAGCCACACUGGAACUGAGACACGGUCCAGACUCCUACGGGAGGCAGCAGUGGGGAAUAUUGGACAAUGGGCGCAAGCCUGAUCCAGCCAUACCGCGUGGGUGAAGAAGGCCUUCGGGUUGUAAAGCCCUUUUGUUGGGAAAGAAAAGCAGCAGGUUAAUACCCCGCUGUUCUGACGGUACCCAAAGAAUAAGCACCGGCUAACUUUGUG
rnacentral:rRNA from 1 species